GCAAUUCCCGACGUACCGUCACUGAUCGAGUUGCUAAACCCAUAUCUGUUGCCGCAUGCAUUUGAAAUGAAUAAUAUUGUCGUAUUUGUUACAGAAAAGAAGAAAAGUAUUGAGCAUUGCAGUUCAAGAAUGGCAUAUGGUAAAAUCAACUAAAACUUGGUGUCUCCAUGUGCCGAGUGAAGUAUCAAUUGAUAUAUAAGAAUUAAAAAAGUGACUAGUUUAUAAAUUGAGAAAACAAAUAAGACCAAAAUUAAAAUGUGAAAUAAAGAUUGAAUAUUCAAAUAAUUGUAAACCGUCAAGAUCGCAAACUGAAAAUGAACGUUGAUGAUGAGUUUACAUUACCAAAAAAAACUGUACACACGAAAGUUUCGGUAAACUAAAUAUACUGAAGAAUUCACCAUUAUUAAUAUGUUAUCGAGAAAAAUCCUCAAAAGAAAAUGGAAAAAAAAAAGCAUCACUCUAACCAAAUUCCCAUCCAUCUAUAUAUAAUAUAACACUAACACAAAAAAUCUUACAUAAUCUAUUAAAGAGAGACAUUAUGAACAGAUUCAGCAGCCGCCGCAGAGGGUACCACCGCCUCCGUAGCGCCACCACGGUGAGACAGAGGCUGAAGAUCGCUCGGCUAGGCGGCGGACGAUUAAAAGCUACUGGCCGGGAGUUCAUAAAGGCAGUAAGGAAGUGGUGGAGCAAGAACAUAGCGGCAGCUUUCCACGUGGCUUACUUGCGAGUGGUGAAGAAGCUGGCGGCUCAGAUGAAGAAGGAAUUUCCUCUGGCCGGCGGCGGCGAUGGAGAUGGUCAUAUGUGGGAGCUGCCGCCGGCGGGUGGAGACAGAGUCGAUGACGGCGACAGAGUGCUUGUGGAGUUCUAUAGUAAGCUUUUGGCUUCUCGUCAGUUUGUUAGUCUAGUGAAGUUUGGGUGACCCAAAUUUGGGGAAAUGAAAUUGUUCUGAUUUCGUUUUUGGGUUUGUAAAAAUCAGGUUUGGUUUACACGGUAUACGAGUAUGCUCAAAGAGCGGACCAUUCGGUCGGCCAGGAUAAAACCUGACCAAAUUUGAUCUGUGGUGUCUAUGACGAAAAAUCGAAAUGAAAACUCGUGAUUGUGACCCUAGACUAAUUCAAUUCAGACAACCUUGCUCGUUACAGUAAUUAAAAUUAUUAAACCGAUCCAUGAAUUCGAAAUACUCGAACCCUU
rnacentral:lncRNA from 1 species